rnacentral:tRNA from 1 species
GGUUAGAUGGCCGAGUUGGUCUAAGGCGCCAGGUUAAGGUUAUAGAUUCAUAAGAACUUAUAUUCAAACUCCUGGUCUAGUAAUAGGCGUGGGUUCAAAUCCCACUCUAAUCA